UAGGGAAUAUUGCACAAUGGGGGAAACCCUGAUGCAGCAACGCCACGUGUGGGAUGACGCAUUUCGGUGUGUAAACCACUGUCGAUAGGGAAUAAACGUCGAUUUCGGUCGGCCUGAAUGUACCUAUAAAGGAAGCACCGGCAAACUUCGUGCCAGCAGCCGCGGUAAUACGAGGGGUGCAAGCGUUGUUCGGAAUCACUGGGCGUAAAGGGAGCGUAGGCGGAACUCCAAGUCGGUCGUACAAUACCAGGGCCCAACCCUGGAACUGCGGCCGAGACUGGUUUUCUUGAGUUGUUUAGAGGCAGGCGGAAUUCCAGGUGUAGCGGUGGAAUGCGUAGAGAUCUGGAAGAACACCAAUGGCGAAGGCAGCCUGCUGGGAACAAACUGACGCUGAGGCUCG
rnacentral:rRNA from 1 species